ACGGUGGGGAGGGCGGGGAGGUGGGGAGAGAAGGGCAGGAAGCGCGCGGAAGGGGACGGGAAGGAAGAAAGGCCGACUGCGGGCCUGGAAAGGGGGUCACCUCCGCUGCGUGUUGCUCCCUGGAGCGGACAGUGUUUAUUAUCCUGUCAGCUCACCCCUGACUACCUUGUCUUACGUGGGCUUUCAGUACUGUCACAGAUGGCCCCGUUUUAAUUUUCUCAAGAGAGUAAGAGAUUUCCCUUUGUUCAUUUCCGUUUCCCGCGUCAGCGUUGUAAACAAGGAGCGCAGAAGCGUCCAUCUUGUUUACUCUUCGUCUCCAGCAGGGAACUUGUGCGUUAAGUUAAUAAAAGUAAGGUUCUGGAUACAAGAGGAAUAUAUGGAAAUUAUUUUCUGCACUAAUAACCACUAAUUCGACGUAGAAAUGAAAUGAAGUUUGAAAAUUAAGUCACCAAGAAGUUGUGGGGGAGAUUACCUGCAAAAAAAAGCUCUUGUGGAAUGAGAAUUGCAGGGAAAAAAGAAAAAGAUAGGAAGCCUACAAAAUUUAUUAUGCUUUAUCAGGAAAAUACAGGGUCAGUCUUUCCUAAGAGGCCUUGUAUUUCAACUCCCCGGGCCAGAAACUGCUACUGGACAGACUGAACCAAGCCAAAGGGAAGAUCCAACUAUAAUCAAUCUACUUUCUGACCAAUGGCACACAGGGUUCCUGACCUCCUCCAUUCUCCGGAUUCUAUGUCUAUUCAGCCAUGUGAGCAUGGGCACUUAGGAGAAAUGUGCACAUCACUUCAAUCAUUUCCCCACUCCUGGAUUUAUCUUGAUCCACUCAAUGUCUGCUUUCUGCCAACAGUAAACCCCAGAGGUCAGGAGGUCAAAGGUUCUUGAUGUCUACCUGGGGUUCCUUUGGAGGCCCAGCAACCAGCCUUUCCUUCAAGAUCCAUUCUGUACCUUUGGAUCAUGCUAACCACAGUAAUUACCCCGUUCCCGAGGCCGGAUGACAUCAGAUGAGGAUGACGCCGGGACCAAGCCUGCUCGAGAGAAGGCAAGGUGGAUGCCUCACAGCAUUCCUUAUAUUGUGUUGAAAUAUUUUAGAUAUACUGGGAUAAAUUAAUUUACUGGUGUGAA